AGUGAACGUUGGCGGCGUGGAUUAGGCAUGCAAGUCGAGCGAGAACCGUAGCAAUACGGGGACAGCGGCGAAAGGGACAGUAAUGUGUAGGUACCUACCUCCGGGCUCGGGAUAGCUGCGGGAAACUGCAGGUAACACCGAAUAACGUCUCCGGACCAAGGGUGCGAUUCCACCUGGAGAGGGGCCUGCAUCCUAUUAGGUUGUUGGCGGGGUAACGGCCCACCAAGGCGACGAUGGGUAGCGGGUGUGAGAGCACGACCCGCGUCAUUGGGACUGAGACACUGCCCAGACACCUACGGGUGGCGGCAGUCGUGAAUCUUCGGCAAUGGGCGCAAGCCUGACCGAGCGACGCCGCGUGCGGGAUGAAGGCCUUCGGGUUGUAAACCGCUGUCGUAGAGGAGGAAAUGCAGGGGGGUUCUCCCCUCUGUUUGACCCAUUCUAGGAGGAAGUACGGGCUAAGUUCGUGCCAGCCGCCGCGUAA
rnacentral:rRNA from 1 species